AUAUAAAAUCAUAAAAAACUAACUAUUUGAGUUGUCAUAGGAACUCUGCAGUUAAGCGUGUUUGAACGAGAGCAGUAUUAAGUUGGAUGACCACUUGGAAAGCCCUCGUAUUUCACCCU
rnacentral:rRNA from 1 species